rnacentral:rRNA from 1 species
UACGUAGGGUGCGAGCGUUGUCCGGAAUUAUUGGGCGUAAAGAGCUUGUAGGCGGUUUGUCGCGUCUGCUGUGAAAUCUCAAGGCUCAACCUUGAGCUUGCAGUGGGUACGGGCAGACUAGAGUGUGGUAGGGGAGACUGGAAUUCCUGGUGUAGCGGUGAAAUGCGCAGAUAUCAGGAGGAACACCGGUGGCGAAGGCGGAUCUGCUGGGCCAUUAC